CUCAAGUGAUCCUCCCGCCUUGGCCUCCCAGAGUGCUGAGAUUACAGAGAGAGAAUGCUAAUGAGCUGUGAAAUGACCAAAGAUCUGGCAGCAGAAGGGAAGAGAAAAAAUAACGGAAAAGACCACGUAUCAGUGUUGUCAGUUGUCAGGAAGGUGGAAGAAGAGAAGUAACUUCAGAAAACACAUGGGAGCUGUUUGGGAUAAUGAAAAUAUUCUGUAUGAUGAUUUUGAUGAUGGUUACCUUGUAAAAUAGACUUAUAAAAUUAAUGCAAUUAUAUUCUUUAAAUUGGUGAAUUUCAUUGUGUGAAAAUUAUAUCCCAAUAAAGCUAACCAAAAAAAAAAAAAAAAAGGGUCAAAGACUUGAACAGGUACUUCAUAAAAGAGAACAUCCAAAUGACCAAUAAACAUAUGAAAAGGCGUAAAUUAAAAGUAGAAUGAGAUACAAUUCUACACCUAUCAUUAUGUCUAAAAUCAAAAAGAUGGAAAAUACCAAAUAUUGCUGAGGACACUGGCACAACUGGAACUCUCCUGUGCUGCUCACAGGGAUGUAAAUUCGUAUUACCACUUUGGAAAAUUGUUUGGCAAUGUCUAGGAAAGCUGAAUAUGUGCAUAACCUAUGACUGGGUAAUUCUAGUUCUGUUUGUAGUCAGAAUUUGGGAACCAAUAGGAAGGAUAAAUAAAUGGUGGUAAAUCUGUGCAAUUCAAUACUACAUAGCAAUGAGAAUGAAUGAACUACUGCUACAUAUGACAUGAAAGGAGCAUAUAAACAUGAUACUGAGUGAAAGAAACCAUACACAAAAGCGUACAUUUAUUUAAAGUUAGAAAGCAGGGCCUGGCGCGGUGGCUGAUGCCUGUAAUCCCAGCACU